UGGGGAAUAUUGGACAAUGGGGGCAACCCUGAUCCAGCAAUGCCGCGUGUGUGAAGAAGGUUUUCGGAUUGUAAAGCACUUUCGGCGGGGACGAUGAUGACGGUACCCGCAGAAGAAGCCCCGGCUAACUUCGUGCCAGCAGCCGCGGUAAUACGAAGGGGGCUAGCGUUGCUCGGAAUGACUGGGCGUAAAGGGCGUGUAGGCGGUUUGUACAGUCAGAUGUGAAAUCCCCGGGCUUAACCUGGGAGCUGCAUUUGAGACGUGCAGACUAGAGUGUGAGAGAGGGUUGUGGAAUUCCCAGUGUAGAGGUGAAAUUCGUAGAUAUUGGGAAGAACACCGGUGGCGAAGGCGGCAACCUGGCUCAUUACUGACGCUGAGGCGCGAAAGC
rnacentral:rRNA from 1 species